UUUCGCUGUGUUUUAAUGUGCAGGGUUAAAGCCUGCAGUGUUUGCAGCACUUGUUCCUAACAGCGCAAAUAAACCUCUGCUUGAGGUGGCUGAAGAGAUUAUGGGAGACCAUGAAAUGAUGUCAUCAAAACAGUCGAAUUGAUUUCUAUCGUUCUGAAAGAACUCAAAAUUUGAUAGAAGAUAUAUUACGGUCGCAGCUCCCUCUCACUCACGCAAAGUUUUCGAGUUUGAUUUCUGGAUUUAUUUUUGCAGGUUUAUUCGAAAUAUUAGCUUAUGGGGGUGAAAAGAGUAUUUAUAAUAUAUAUUAUUAAUUUUAAAAGAUACAUGCGGAACUCCAUUAAUGGAUAUGUACAGACUAGUAUUUAGGAUUUAUAUUGCAAUUGCAUUAUUAUGUACUCCUUGUGCUUGGCAUCCAACUUGUGUGCUUAA